UUAACCUGCAAAAGACAGAAAAGGGAAGGAAGAGUAAACGGGGGAAAGAAGAAAAGAGAAAAGAGAGGAGGUAGUUAAUGGUAAAUCUUACCAAAAUCCUCCUCCAAAUAAACCUCUAUUUCUUUGGUCCAGGAAAUUCAUGGCAAGGAAAAAGUCCUUGAAUUUGUAGGAAAGAUUUCUUUUCUACCCAUCUGUAGAAAGGUUUACCUAUAAGGUUGUCCAGAGAGGCAUUGUUUAUAACAGUAAAAAUUGCAAACCACUUAAAUGUCCAAUUAUAGGAGAAGUGUGAUAUAUUUAUAGUCAACCCUGGUCAUUGAAGGUGAUGUUGUAGAAAAAUGGUUAUUGACUUGGAAAGAGAUUCAAGGGACGUCAUUGAAUGAAGAAGUAGUUUACAAAACUAUAUCCACAGUAUGAGCCCCUUUCUGUGAAGAAAGGCAUACAUGCCCAGGGCAGAAACAGCAACUGUUAACCAUGGAAUUAUGGUUUUGUUUUUUGUUUUCUCCUUUUGCUUCUCUGCAUUUAUUCAUUCUAUAAUUAAUGUAAUAGUUUUGUAAUGAGAAAAAUAAUUAGAAUGUAAACAUUUUUAAGGAGUUUUUUUUGGUGUGGAUUUCCUAAUAAAAAUUCCUUCUUGCAAAACAUUCUUCUGAAACUGGGAGGUUAGAAUUUACCCUAUUCCUACUCUGCUUGUCAACAAGCUUGAAAAGUUAGCGCUGGGCUGAGAGAUGGGCCACAGGCUAAUUUCCUAGCAAAUUAUUAGCAAAAUGCUUUACUAGGCAGUACAAUUAUUUUACGGUAUUAUGGCAUCAAUCAAACACAUUUAUUGAGUGCCUAUUGUGUUCUUGGAAUAGUGAACAAUUUAAAAAUAUAAUAGCCAUCAUCUUUUAUUACUUCUUUGAUGGUUUCUGCAGGAGCGGUUGAAUUCUGUCAACCUGCAAAGCAGUUUAAACGGGCAAGUAGAAUGUUUUCAUUUUUUUCAAAUGCCAUCCAAUAAUAUGUCACUAAUUAAAAAAAAAUUGGAAGUGGUUAAUGCCAGGAUCUACUUGGAUACAGUUUUAAAAAUUUAAAUAGUCACUUCUCAUUCUGCAGGUUUAAAACAAUCUUUCAUAUUUUCAGAUUUAACAACUGAACUUAAAUAGCUCCAGCUAAUAAAAAAACCAGGAAGUUUAUAAGCUGGUUGGGAAAUAAUUACACCUGUUAUUUCCUGUGAAAAAAUUAAUCCUUAAAGGCAAAGAGGUUGGAAAUUAAUUCAGGGUGAUGUGUCCAAAUGCCAGCAGUUUUCCACAGCUGGAAAAGGCCUUGGAGGAUCCUGUUUAAUUUCUCUCCUCUGAUCUCAGCUACACAAAUCUCCCACCAUCUCUCUUUGAGCCUUACUUCCUGAGAGAGGUUGAGUACCAGGCAUUCCUAAAUGGCUGUUUAUUAAAAUGAAACUUCUGUGCAGUGUCCCAGGCUCCCUUCCCUCACCUUCCCAACCUGGACAGAAUCUCUAGACAUUUCUAGCUGCUGUGGUCAAUUCAGAUUGCAGUUUUCCCAUUGAGUUCGUGGGUAUGAAAAACAGGCAAGACUGGAUUUACUCUUUUUAAAGUUGGGCGUUUCUUUUCAUAAAUGGGGAGGGGGCAGGAAGGGGGAGUUCACUGAGAAGAAAGCCUUUACAAAGCCUAAUCCUCUAGCGAAUUCACCAACCUGUAAGUAUUCUGUGUGUAUCACACCUCCCUGUAAAAUGUCUGAGAUUCACAAGUACCAGGAAUAUCACAAAACUCCCUAUGCUUUCUCAGGUCAGAUAUGGGCACGAGCAGCCUGUCUUUGCUUUCACAUUUUAUUUCCCAGGGUCUGGGAACAUUCUAGGGCCAACUCCAGAGGGCUGAGAAAAGAGUGCCUUGAGGACCGUGAAGUGUCACUUUGCUGCAAAGCUAACCCUUCAGCACCUAAGAAAGAUUCUUAAAAAGUAAAUGAUAAAUGGAGAUGCUUUUUCUUAAUUGCAAAUCCACAUUUCCUGUCAUUUCAAAUAGAUGUGUUAAGGACGUCAAUUUGAUUCUUUUAGACUAUUAUAGUCUAGAAGACAAAAGAAGUCAGUAGCAUAUGCCUGAGUCUUGUCAUUUUGAAAGCACAUGGAAAUUUUAAAAUAGAAUGUUCUUUUCCAUAGGGAGCAAGGAAGCAUUUCUUUUCUCACUGAAAUCCAUCUAGAGGGGAAAUCGGGAAAGUUUGUGCAUGUGUCCAUUAUGCCCGUUAUCACCAACCAGAGGUGAGAGGGGAUCAUUGGGCAAAUUCUCAGCCAAGUUGAGGUCUCCAUAGAUUCUUUUCAGAGAGAACUGCUGAGACCUGGGGAUUCCUAGGAACCAGUUUCAUUUCUAUGCAGGUGUCCAGCUAUUUCCAGUGCUGUCCAGGGAACAAUACCAGUUGGACAGAGGAAGAGCUCCAAUGUUGGAGUUUUAGAAGUU